rnacentral:rRNA from 1 species
CCUACGGGAGGCAGCAGUGGGGAAUAUUGCACAAUGGGCGCAAGCCUGAUGCAGCCAUGCCGCGUGUAUGAAGAAGGCCUUCGGGUUGUAAAGUACUUUCAGCGGGGAGGAAGGGAUGGCGCUUAAUACGCGCCGUCAUUGACGUUACCCGCAGAAGAAGCACCGGCUAACUCCGUGCCAGCAGCCGCGGUAAU